rnacentral:rRNA from 1 species
CCUACGGGAGGCUGCAGUGAGGAAUAUUGGUCAAUGGGCGAGAGCCUGAACCAGCCAAGUCGCGUGAGGGAGUACUGCCCUAUGGGUUGUAAACCUCUUUUGUCGGGGAGCAAAAGCCGGACGUUUCCGGCUGUGAGAGUACCCGAAGAAAAAGCAUCGGCUAACUCCGUGCCAGCAGCCGAGGUAAUACGGAGGAUGCGAGCGUUAUCGGGAUUUAUUGGGGUUAAAGGGUGCGCAGGCGGAGUUUUAAGUCAGAGGUCAAAUCGGGGGGCGAAACCCCAUCCAGCCGUUGAAACUGGGGAUCUAGAGUGUGCGAGAGGUAUGCGGAAUGCGUGGUGUAGCGGUGAAAUGCAUAGAUAUCACGCAGAACCCCGAUUGCGAAGGCAGCAUACCGGUGCACAACUGACGCUCAGGCACGAAAGCGUGGGUAUCGAACAGGAUUAGAUACCCCAGUAGUC